UCUCUCAAUAAGAUCUUUUUAAAAUUUCUUUUUUUAAUUAAAAUAUGUGUCGACAUUUUUCCUCAAUGUAUGCUCUUUCUUCCACAUUAAUUAGAGCCGCGGUAAAAUUAAAAUACAACAGUUAGUCCAAGUACUUUCGACGGUGAAGGAUGAGCAGUCAGGCUUCUGACCGAGGGUCAUACCGAGGGUCAUGGAGGGGUGCAAACAGUUCAUCUGCUGGAGGAAGAGGAUGGAGAGGAGGAAGAGGAUGGAGAGGCCAUCAGUGGAGCAGAGGAGGAGGAGGAAGAGGAAGAGGGAACUAUUCCACCAACAAUACACAAAAUAGAUUUACUCCACAAGUUAGUCAAGCAACCCUUGAUAUCACGUGUCCAUACAAAGGAUGGCGACUCUAUUUUUCUGAAGGAUUUGUUGAAAGUUCACCUUAUGUCGAGAAGA